rnacentral:rRNA from 1 species
GCGCACCAGUCGAGAAUACUUUACAAUGUGCGAAAGCACGAUAAGGGAACUCUGAGUGCCUCCUAAGGAGGCUGUUCAGGUGUCUAAAAAGCACCUGGAGUAAGGGCUGGGUAAGACCGGUGCCAGCCGCCGCGGUAACACCGGCAGCCCAGGUGGUAGCCACUUUUAUUGGGUCUAAAGCGUCCGUAGCCGGUUGAGUAAGUUCCUUGGGAAAUUUGGCUGCUUAACAGUCAAGCUUUCAGGGAAUACUGCCCCGGCUUGGGGACCGGGAGAGGUCAGAGGUACUCCAGGGGUAGGGGUGAAAUCCAUUAAUCCUUGGGGGACCACCGGUAGCGAAGGCGUCUGACCAGACCGGGUCCGACGGUGAGGGACGAAGGCUAGGGGCGCGAACCGGAUUAGAUACCCGUGUAGU